rnacentral:antisense_RNA from 1 species
CUUGACCGUGCCGAGCAGCAACGGCCGCUCGGCGGACCGCUGCCGGCCGUACGUCGCGAGCAGCGCCUGCGCCUC